rnacentral:rRNA from 1 species
GCGUGAGUGAUGAAGGCCUUAGGGUUGUAAAGCUCUUUUACCCGGGAUGAUAAUGACAGUACCGGGAGAAUAAGCCCCGGCUAACUCCGUGCCAGCAGCCGCGGUAAUACGGAGGGGGCUAGCGUUGUUCGGAAAUACUGGGCGUAAAGCGUACGUAGGCGGUUUGGUAAGUCAGGGGUGAAAUCCCAGAGCUCAACUCUGGAACUGCCCUUGAAACUGCUGAACUAGAAUCUUGGAGAGGUCAGUGGAAUUCCGAGUGUAGAGGUGAAAUUCGU